rnacentral:rRNA from 1 species
UCUUCGGAUCUAGUGGCGGACGGGUUAGUAACGCGUGGGAACGUACCCUUCACUACGGAAUAGUCCCGGGAAACUGGGUUUAAUACCGUAUACGCCCUUCGGGGGAAAGAAUUUCGGUGAGGGAUCGGCCCGCGUUAGAUUAGUUAGUUGGUGGGGUAAUGGCCUACCAAGACUACGAUCUAUAGCUGGUUUGAGAGGAUGAUCAGCAACACUGGGACUGAGACACGGCCCAGACUCCUACGGGAGGCAGCAGUGGGGAAUCUUAGACAAUGGGGGCAACCCUGAUCUAGCGAUGCCGCGUGAGUGAUGAAGGCCUUAGGGUCGUAAAGCUCUUUCGCCUGUGAUGAUAAUGACAGUAGCAGGUAAAGAAACCCCGGCUAACUCCGUGCCAGCAGCCGCGGUAAUACGGAGGGGGUUAGCGUUGUUCGGAAUUACUGGGCGUAAAGCGCACGUAGGCGGAUUAGUCAGUCAGAGGUGAAAUCCCAGGGCUCAACCCUGGAACUGCCUUUGAUACUGCUAGUCUUGAGUUCGAGAGAGGUAAGUGGAAUUCCGAGUGUAGAGGUGAAAUUCGUAGAUAUUCGGAGGAACACCAGUGGCGAAGGCGGCUUACUGGCUCGAUACUGACGCUGAGGUGCGAAAGUGUGGGGAGCAAACAGGAUUAGAUACCCUGGUAGUCCACACCGUAUACGAUGAAUGCCAGUCGUCGGGUAGCAUGCUAUUCGGUGACACACCUAAAGGAUUAAGCAUUCCGCCUGGGGAGUACG